rnacentral:rRNA from 1 species
UCCAGACUCCUACGGGAGGCAGCAGUGGGGAAUAUUGCACAAUGGGGGAAACCCUGAUGCAGCGACGCCGCGUGGGUGACGAAGUAUUUCGGUGUGUAAGCCCUAUCAGCAGGGAAGAAGAUGACAGUACCUGACUAAGAAGCCCCGGCUAACUACGUGCCAGCAGCCGCGGUAAUACGUAGGGGGCAAGCGUUAUCCGGAUUUACUGGGUGUAAAGGGAGUGUAGGUGGCAUGGCAAGCCAGAAGUGAAAACCCGGGGCUUAACCCCGCGGAUUGCUUUUGGAACUGUCAGGCUGGAGUGCAGGAGGGGCAGGCGGAAUUCCUGGUGUAGCGGUGAAAUGCGUAGAUAUCAGGAGGAACACCGGUGGCGAAGGCGGCCUGCUGGACUGUAACUGACACUGAGGCUCGAAAGCGUGGGGAGCAAACAGGAUUAGAUACCCCAGUAUUG